CAUUGCAGCUAUAUCAUUUAAUCAUUAAAAACCUGAACAGCAGUUGAGGGAAUGGCAAACUCAGGUGCGUGACGCUUAACGAUGGUGAUCAUGAUAAUAUGACAACAACAGUGACCUAUAAAUCAUCCAACCAACAUCCAAAGAAGAGCUUGGAAUUCAAGAAGCCUGGAGAACUAUUCCUGAAGACUACUUAUAGAAAUCACAAGAAAGCUUGACUGAAAGAGUGCAGACUGUGCUGAAGAAUAAAGGUGAUCACACCAAAUAUUGACUUUAUACAGACUCUGUUUUUGCUUUAUAUGCUGUAUUUCUAUGUAUGUUUGCAUGUCUUAAUAAACAUACUAAUGCAAAGUAUAAAGAAAUGAGGGGUGGCUCAAGACUCCUACACAGCAUGAUAUGUUAAUGAUAAAGAACACGGGGAAAAACUGUUUCAUGACUUAUUUGCAAACACAAUGCUGCUCUUUCUGCAACAGCACAGUAAGUGGUUUGUGUCCAGACACAGACACAUCUUCCCAUCACAUAGAGUUGUGCUCCACUCUAAAACUUGCUUCAUCCAAGGAUAUUUUUACAUAAUAGAAGAGUAUUGUGAAAUGUACAUGGCAUAUACCCUGACACACCCUGACACACAGGAAAACUGCCUUUAAAUGCACCAUCUGCCAUAAUUGUUGUCUUGUUUUAAUUAUCUCUAUUUAAUUAUCGCACAAGUCUUUGAGUGUCAUUGUCACCAUCAGGCUCUCGUUGUCUACAACAGCAAAAAGAUAUAAAGAGCAGUGCUAACAGGAUAUAGGUCACGUUAGUGAACCAAAAUGCGAACAGGUAGAGCGUUUUGUUGCAGUACACAUCAGGCUGUGUCAUAUUCUUGUUGUAGUUGGGUUCAUAAAUGGAGUAGAUGACUAUAUUACCUGGAAGAAUAUAAAAAAUGAUCUCAAAUUAGAAUGAGAGUGAUGGACCUGCACGGCCUCUAGAUAAAUGCAGAACUGGCUUCAAGCUUUUUUCAAAAUGCUGCUGUAAUUUGUUUAUUUUAAAAAUGUAAAAAAAAUCCAAGGAACAAGAAGAACAAUUUAUUUCAGUUAAAUUCAGUUCAGUUUUAUUAGCAAAAAAUUACAACAGCACUUGGUCAUUUAACAUUGUGUAUUCUCCUUGUGUAUCCAAAAGGAGCUAGUACUGUGUGACGUAUAUGAUCAGUUUAAUUUACAAAUAAAUCGACUGAUUUACUGAUAAGACCUG
ensembl:lncRNA